rnacentral:rRNA from 1 species
UGUAAGCGUAUACCAAAGUUGUUGCAGUUAAAACGCUCGUAGUCGGAAUUUGGCAGUUCCGGAUGUGUGCACGUCGUGUGCGCACUUCGCGGGGAUUGCUUUUGUGGUCUUGCGUAGGAAGAGGCACUUUUAUUAGUGAACGUCCUCACGCAACCACUUUUUACUGUGAGAAAAUCAGAGUGCUCAAAGCAGGCAUUUGCCGUGAAUGUAUUAGCAUGGAAUAAUAGAAUAGGACUUGGUUCUAUUUUGUUGGUUUGUUGGGACUGAGUAAUGAUUAAGAGGGACAGUUGGGGGCAUUUGUAUUUCGGUGCUAGAGGUGAAAUUCUUAGAUUACCGAAAGACAAACUGCUGCGAAAGCGUCUGCCAAGGAUGUUUUCAUUGA